AGGAACCACCCAAAAACGGAUGCUUCAUAAGUUGCUUUCUUGCUUCAGUCCUCUUCUUCCUUAUUUCAUGUAUCUCCCUGCGUCAAAACUGGUUUCGGUAGGUUCAGAUGUUGUUUUCUUCCCUCACAGUCUUCAGACGUUGCUUUGAUGUAUCACCUAGAACAGAGUUUCUUCCUUCAAUCUUCACGUGACCGAUUUGAUCCCUUAAUUAUCGCUCCAUAUAACUCCCUCUUUGUGGUUUGAUUUCUCUACCAUCUCUUCAAAACCCUAAAGAUUUCUCUGAGCUGAAGAUUUUUCAGACGUGAUUUUGAUUCCUCCGUUGAUUCCAACGAGGUACGCUGAUAUUGGGUUGCUGGAAGUAUUAGGUUCCGCUUUCUAUUCAACCAUAGAUACUGAACUCAUUAUCCUGUUUACUUGUCAUCAUCAGAGGUUCUUCUAGCAAUUCCUCCGAAUCCCAGUUUGUUGACUGAGUUUGAUUGCACAUGCCUUAAGUUUGAUUGCACAGUCCAGACUUCAGACAACCAAUUUUCAAGGUAAAUCAUGCCUUUUUGUUCAUUGAACCUCUUGACUUCUGGAAAUCCAUCUAUACGGUACUGAGUGAUCUGCAUAUCUACUUCUUUUGUUUUCUCUUUGUUUUUCUGCAUAACGGUCUUUACUUGGAGCGUUGCAGUCGGCUUUCAUAGACACAUGUAUCAUUUUCUGCAUAACGGUCUUUUGUUUUCUCUUUGUUUUUCUGCAUAAUGUCUCCUUGAUAAAGCUGGACCAAAGUGAAGAUUGCAUCCAAAACAACUUUAUUUGCACAGUAGGUGCUUGCAAAUGCAGUUUGGUUUGAGUCGAUAUUAAAAAAUAGAGCCAAAUUAGGCUCUACGUCCAUAUAUGUCUAAACGUCGU